rnacentral:lncRNA from 1 species
ACGCCUACAGUGCGCUCCCCCUCACUCCUUUUCCUCGGAGUGCCCGGCCCCGGCCCCCUUCUGCCCCUUUCCCCGGCAGGGUGAUACUUUGUCAAGCCGUAAUCCAACCCUGCUAAACCCGCGGGUAGAGCUGAAGCGCUGCGAUGAAUCUCGGCAGACUCAUUCCUCUCCUCGAGAGCUUGCUGCCCUUAGAAAUGACUUCAGCGCGCUUUUGCAAGUGUAAAGGGAAAUCAAGAUCCCCUCUUCAUGUCUCUUGAUCUUCACCAGACUAGAAGAACCUGUAGUUCUUAGAGCUGCAGUGGAAAGUGACCUGUUGUGUUUGUGGAAGCUCUGGAAUCCUGCAGGAGAAGGAUCACUCAGCACCGUGGCAAUCUGCCAAGUACAACUUGUUCUGAAACACAGUGGCUCUGAGAAGUUGCAUUAUCAACUGAAACACAAUGUCAGCUUAGCAGGAGGUUGCUGGCUGACCCUUCUACACAGAGGUGGGGGUGGGGAACAACAUCAGUCUAGACAGAAGAGGACAACAACUAGCUGUCCACUCAGGCUGCAGAUUAGAGGACAUAACUGUGCGCUGAUACCACAACUCCAUUUUUGCACAGCGAUACAACAUACUGCUGAAGCAUUGGGAUUUCAGUCUAAAAUUUUGAGAUAAACGGACAAGUGCAAGCAGAACUACAUAAUAAACUUAAAAGAGCAUCACCUGAUGAAACAAAAGAAAAUCUGGGCUAACCCAGAUGGCUGAAUAUCAAGCUUAAUACAUUUUUGAAAGGCAAGUAUGUUCCCUCUUCUAAAUACCAUUUAGUUAUGAUAUUUUGACUAAACUUGACUAAAAUUAUGAAGCAGUCACAUCUGAGAAUUACCUCCUAUCCCCUUAUAGAUGUUUGUGCUAUACGCACAUUAUCCUAUUUGCCAUUCAAUUGUGAUUACAGCUUUUAUUCAUUGCUGUUAGUAUCAGCUAUUUGGGAAGCUUUCCAGCAAAUAAUAAUUUUAAAGGUUAGCAUUAUAUAGAAUCAAAAAUACCCCAUAUAGCUAAAUUCACCUCACAGUUGUGAUAGCUGAUCCCAGCUAUUUCAACGAGGUUACACCUUUUG